rnacentral:rRNA from 1 species
UACGUAGGGGGCAAGCGUUGUCCGGAAUCAUUGGGCGUAAAGAGCGUGUAGGCGGCCCGGUAAGUCCGUUGUAAAAGUCAAAGGCUCAACCUUUGAAAGCCGAUGGAUACUGCUGGGCUAGAGUCCGGAAGAGGCGAGUGGAAUUCCUGGUGUAGCGGUGGAAUGCGCAGAUAUCAGGAGGAACACCGAUAGCGAAGGCAGCUCGCUGGGACGGUACUGACGCUGAGACGCGAAAGCGUGGGGAGCAAACAGG